UCGGGAAUUUUGGGCAAUGGGCGAAAGCCUGACCCAGCAACGCCGCGUGAUGGACGAAGUGCUUCGGCACGUAAACAUCUUUUAUGUGGGAUGAAAUUAUUGACAGUACCACAUGAAUAAGGGGCUCCUAACUCUGUGCCAGCAGGAGCGGUAAUACAGAGGCCCCAAGCGUUAUCCGGAAUCACUGGGCGUAAAGGGUGUCGAGGCGGUUGUAUUAGUCGUUCGUAAAAUCUACGAGCUUAACUUGUAGGCGGCGAACGAAACGGUACGACUUGAGGUUUGGAGAGGUGCGUGGAACUCACGGUGUAGGGGUGAAAUCCGUUGAUAUCGUGGGGAACACCAAAGGCGAAGGCAGCGCACUGGCCAAAAUCUGACGCUCACACACGAAAGCUAGGGUAGCGAAGAGGAUUAGAUACCCCAGUAGUCCCUGAGCGGGCUGGCAAGGCGCAU
rnacentral:rRNA from 1 species